UUUUUUUUUUUUUUUUUAAAAUGAUGUUUUUCUUAACGUUAGUAAACUGGAAAAUAGAAGGUUAAUUUGAUAAAAGUGAGGAAACUCUUCAUAUUGGUGCACUAUAUGUGCAGUGGUUCUAUAUGCGGUCAGUUCUUACAGGGCUGUAAUGGAGGUUCAUGGUGAUAAAUUUGAAAAAGGAACGCAACCUGUUUGAUCAUCAUUCAUCUUUGACUGCUUAAUUAAUUUUAAUAAAAGAUUUUAAGUCAUUGUUGGAGUCUGAUUUUGGAUUGUUCGGCCUGUUCUGUGAUACUGACCUCACAGAAUGAUGGACUGGAGCCUCAGAGCACACAGUUCACCUACACAGUCACUCUGCAGCCAUAUCAGAGCAGCUGAAUUCAUCUUUUGAAUAUUUACAGUUUUGUCAAAUAUUUGCAUUGUACAAGUUUACAGAAAACAUGGUCUUUACAAUUACAAUUACCAGCAGCAUCUUAGUGUCUCUGCUGAGGUUAUUUCCAGUUAAAGUAGCUUCUAUGCUGCUAAAUGCUUCAUGUGUUGCAGAAGGUGGAGAAAGUAGAACUACUUGAGUAAAAACCUGGAAUAAUUGUACUUAAGUGCAGUACUUGGGUAAGUGUACAGAGUUACCUUCCAGCAGUGCUGAGGGUGUAAAUGCAGUGCUGCUGGAUGUGCUGUAGAAUGUGUGGCUGCAGACAGGUGGUUGUGUCCUGUCACAGACCUGAAAUAAACUGCAGUCUUUCUCCUAACUGUAGCUGUCAUUUAUUCAUUUAUUAAUUUCAGAUUUUUAAAAUGUUGAACAGUAAAACUCAGUGACACUGAACAUCACCCAGACUUCCUGGAUCAGUUGACAUUAUCUGAUGAUAGAACUAAGGAAUCACUGCAGCACAUGCAGUUUGAUUAUAACUGGGUUUAUCUCGUUUGCAGGGAGCUGUGGCACCACCACCAAACCAAACCAAACCAAACCACAGCAGCGUGUCUGCAAAGAAAAGGAAGGCCAGCACAAAACCAGAGUCCCCCAGAAACAGGCUGAGGUGUGCCAGUCGGUAUUUGAGGCUGUGCCAGCAAAGGGUGACAAAACGAAGGCCAGCACCCAAAGAAAGACACUUGAAAAAAAGCAGAAGUGUGGACCCAGUUACACAGAUUCUAAUGAAGCCAUCGGGGACUAACUGGUAGGAGCAGGACAGUUCACUGAAAAAACUUGUUCACUGAAACCGGCUCCAAUGACCCUCGAGAGCAGGUCAUAGACUUUGGAUGUAGCUGCUUGGUACAGGAAGAACCAUACUCCAGCUUCUCUGGAACCUCAGCGUACGCCCCUCCAGGGUUUUUCACACAUGGAGGCUGCCCCCACCACAGUCUGGCAGCUGGGCGCACUGCUUUAUGAAAUGCUGGAUGAAGAGCAACAAGUUACCACCUCUAAGUUCCUCUGAGGGAGAAUUUAUUUCAAAAUGAGCUGCACCAAGACUGCCAGAAUUUUUUGGAGCUAUAUUUAACUGGAAACCCAGAACAGCUGGCCAGCUUGGAGCAGAUUCAGCUGCACCCCUGGCUACAGAAUCAAGCUCAAGUCACACUUCAAACACUUUCCGAGAUACCUAAACCUGGGCCAAGGACUACAGAGUCAGCUGAUCACAGCGUUACACAGAGAAAACAAAUCUGCUGGAAUGAAAU